CAAUGCGCAUGACGAAGCCAGGUCCUAGUGGGUUGGUGGAGCAGAGAAAAAGGGAGCGCGCCUGUUCCCUAGUGCGCAUGACAGAAAAGGGGUCUCUCGUCCUACCUUCUGCUUUGCUCUAAACCAUUUUGGAGGAAGAGUGAACGGAGGGCGUGGUGUAGAAAGGGGGGCGGGACUUCGGAGAGGAACGGCUUAAAAAUUUGCCUCAGGACUUUGGCGCCGAAUGAUUGGCAUUUAUACUUAACGAAGGCAGUAGGUAGACUCCGGAGGAGAUGCGGUAAUUUCUUCUUUCCUGCAGCAAUUCACAGGUUCUGCUUUGCUUCCAUCAAGAGAGUCCUGCUUGGCCUCCUGUGUCAUAUAGAUGGCCAUCCAUAUAGUACUAAUUUUAUUCCUGGUGGCCUUCCAAUUACCCAUAUUCUGCCCCAUGAAGGAAUUCAAGGUGA